rnacentral:snRNA from 1 species
GCGCUUACCUGGCAGGGAAAACACCAUAAUCAUGAGGGUGGUUUUCCCAAGGCAAGAUUUAUCCAUUGCACUCGGGAUCUGCUGACCCCUGAGAUUUCCACACUUGGGGAAAACUCAACUGCAUAAUUUGUGUUGGUGGAGGGUUGCUUGCACACUUUCC